rnacentral:rRNA from 1 species
AUUGAACGCUGGCGGCAUGCUUUACACAUGCAAGUCGAACGGUAACAGGCCGCAAGGUGCUGACGAGUGGCGAACGGGUGCGUAAUGCAUCGGAACGUGCCCAGUCGUGGGGGAUAACUACUCGCAAGAGUAGCUAAUACCGCAUACGAUCUAUGGAUGAAAGCGGGGGACCGUAAGGCCUCGCGCGAUUGGAGCGGCCGAUGUCAGAUUAGGUAGUUGGUGGGGUAAAGGCUCACCAAGCCAACGAUCUGUAGCUGGUCUGAGAGGACGACCAGCCACACUGGGACUGAGACACGGCCCAGACUCCUACGGGAGGCAGCAGUGGGGAAUUUUGGACAAUGGGCGCAAGCCUGAUCCAGCAAUGCCGCGUGAAGGAAGAAGGCCUUCGGGUUGUAAACUGCUUUUGUACGGAACGAAACGGCUCUGGUUAAUACCCGGGGCUAAUGACGGUACCGUAAGAAUAAGCACCGGCUAACUACGUG